AUGGACACGCGGUGGCGAGUGUCGUACGCGGCGGAUCUGGUGCGCCGCACGGCCACGUUCCACGACGGCGAAAUCUUCCUUCGUGACGACAUCCAGCGGCUCGUCCUCCUUGAUUCUCGCGGGUGCACGGUGGAUGCACGCUAUGUGCAUGAGGGGGAAUGGAUCGACGUAGGUUGCUUCGUCUCCUUCCCAUGCCAUUUCGCCAGGAUCGAGGACCGCCUGCCGGUGAUUGGCUCGUCGCGCGGUGCUCCGACGUGCGCCGACGAGACGACGGUGCGCACGGACCGCGCUGAUCUGGAGGAAAAGGGGGCGGUACACGGGGACAAGGUUGAGGUGGUUGUGCACGCCCCCCCCCCCGACCUCCACCACGACUGGACAGGAGACCCGGGGUGCUCGGGCGUGGCCCCAACCGCCAUGGCCCGGAUCCUCGACACGUGGGAGCAGCGGACAUCAACCGCCCGGAUCCGUCGAGAGCUAGGGUUUCGGCCCACGCCCCAGAUCGGCGCUACCCCACCUCCACCCAAAGAUCCAGAUCCGAAGCAAGGUCACGGAAGCGGAGAGAUGAGGGGGGAUGGCUUUGGCGCUGGCAGGCAUGGCCGCGGGGCGGGACGGUUCGACCGCGGCGGUGGCCGUGGACGGGACAACAACGUGUGGAAGCGCAAGGAGGACGUGGGGCAGUCCUCGACCACCAGGGUGUCGGACUCCGGCGACACGAGCUUCGACAAGUGGGAAGUCGCGGCGGGUGCGGGAGGAUCUGGGCCACCGCGCCUGGACCGCUGGUCCUCUGCUGUCGACGGCGACGGCGGGGACCAGAACACUCGACGGCUGCAAGGGAAAACGCCUGCGCCUGCUGCGGGGCGAGACCCAAGCACCCCCGCCGGUAACCCUAACCCUACUCCUGAUGCAUGUCAGAUCUGCAAUGCUUUUGGUCAUUACACGGCUAGAUGCCCCCAGGCUCUCUGUGAGCGAUGCAAGAAGAGAGAUCACUUGUCGAUUAUUUGCGCUGAAUUUCUUCCUUGGGAAUGUAUUCCUGCUAUGUGUGGCUUUCAAUCCAAGGGGCAGGGUUUCUGCUACUUUCCUGAUUUUAGUGUAGAGAGACAACCGCAGAGAGAGAACACCAAUGUGCUCAUUACCAUUGUAGAAGGGACCAUAACUAAACAAGAUCUGCAGGAUGAUAUGGGGGUGUACAUUGGGCAGGGCUGGAGAUGUUCCGCACAUCUCGUGGCCCCUAACAAAUAUGUUAUGAGGUUACCUAACGUGAGAGAGGUUGAACAUGCUUUGUUUGUGGAAUACAUAAACCUCAAAAAGCACCAAACUGUGGUCAGAAUCACACCAUGGUCUGAUGACAUGGAUUGUGAGGGUCUACUUGAGAUUGCCUGGGUGAAAAUUAGUAAGAUACCUCUUAAUAAAAGAUGUGACAAGAAUGUGGCUUAUGCUGGUGGGCUUGUUGGGGUGACGUUAGAGAUAGAUAUGUCUACUAUCAAACACCCCUCGUCUGUUCGGGUUAAGAUUGGAUGUUGCAGUAUUGAUAAUCUUCCUGUUUCUGCAGAGGGUUGCAUGGGGGGCCGUUUUUACAAAUUCCUAUAUGAAGUAGAGGAAGUUCUGGUGAGAAACCCGGUGAAGGAAGAUGAUUCUGUGCCUGUUAGAAAUGAUCAGAAAGAAUCCCUGCUGUCCACUCCGAAGAGGAAGAGGCAGGACGGGGGAACUGAGCCAUCUAAGAGUGUUCAUGCUCCUGCUGAGCAUGGUACAUCUUCCUUCAGGGGAGGGAAGGCCUGUCGCCUGCUCCCUCUUGAAAAAGAGAAGGAAAAUGAGGAGGACAACUUGUCAGACUCUUAUGAAAGUGAUGAUGAUAAAACUUUAUUUAUUGAGAAGCUGGCCAAUGAGAAUUCUGCUCAAGAGGGCUAUGAAGAGAAAUCAGAUGGAGGAAAAAUCGCUGAUCAUGAGGAAAAAACACCUGACAAGAGCACUGGUGUGCAAACACUGCAGGUGAAUGUACUUCCUUUGAUUGAGAAGAAAUGCUCAUAUGUGGAGGUAGUAACUGGUGUUUCGCAGGUCUCAGAAGUGACAGGAGAGGUGGAUCCUAAGCUGAAGGAGAGGCAGGGAGACAUGAUGCAAAAAGCUAUGGAAGUGGCCAAGAAGAAAAAUCUGGAAAGGUGGGGGUCCAAUAAGUACGGCCAUACCAAGAAAAGAAAAGAAGAAUUAAGAGUAGAAUUGUCCACUCUUGAGGAGCUUGAGGAGGAGGGACCUCUGACCCCUGAGAUGUAUAGUAGAAAGGUGGAUAUUAAUUUUGAGCUUCAUGAGAUUCUGGUGAAUGAGGAGAUUUUCUGGCUGCAACAAUCUCAUGAGCGUUGGCUGCUCAAAGGGGAUUUGAACACAGAUUACUUUCAUAAAAUUGCAAAUGGGAGAAAAAGGAAGAAUACCAUUCAUGCCCUCAAGUAUGGUGAUGUUGAGAUAGAAGGGGACACUGACAUUGAUAGCAAGUAUGCCGAGAUCUUUAACUGCGAGAUUGGGCACUUUCCAAUUAAAUAUCUUGGUAUGCCUGAUUCUUAUACUUUCAGGCCAUUGCCAAUGGCCGCCGUAGACGCAACACCACCCCCCUUCUCUGGGAUGGCGCGACCCUCCUGCAGUCUCUCAGUGACAUUCGAGCCCAUGUCGACGGGUUCUACAGGUCCCUGUUCUUCGCCGCUCCUAGGAGCGGCCUUUUCUCUGGCUCCUGAUUGUUGGACCGGCCUCCAGCUAGUUUCCGAUGCGGAGAACGCGGCCCUUACGGCCCCCUUCUCCGAGGGCGAGGUCUGGGCGGCCAUUAGAGGCAUGAACCCUACCUCGGCCCCAGGCCCGGAUGGCCUCCCGGUUAAAUUCUUCCAGACCUUUUGGAAUGUGAUUAAGCCUGAGAUCAUGGUCAUCUUCGACGAGUUCUACGUUGGGUCCAUCGACCUCGGGCGCCUCAACUACGGGAUCAUUUCGCUCAUCCCCAAGGUGUCCGGGGCCUCCGACAUUCGCCAGUUUCGAUCACGGUUAUCAAUGUGA
rnacentral:rRNA from 1 species